rnacentral:rRNA from 1 species
AAAUGCGAUAAGUAAUGUGAAUUGCAGAAUUCAGUGAAUCAUCGAAUCUUUGAACGCACAUUGCGCCCGCCAGCAUUCUGGCGGGCAUGCCUGUUCGAGCGUCAUUUCAACCC